rnacentral:rRNA from 1 species
GACGAACGCUGGCGGCGUGCUUAACACAUGCAAGUCGAACGAUGAAGCCUUCGGGUGGAUUAGUGGCGAACGGGUGAGUAACACGUGGGUGAUCUGCCCUGCACUUUGGGAUAAGCCUGGGAAACUGGGUCUAAUACCGGAUAGGACCAUGGCCUGCAUGGGUUGUGGUGGAAAGCUUUUGCGGUGUGGGAUGGGCCCGCAGCCUAUCAGCUUGUUGAUGGGGUGAUGGCCUACCAAGGCGACGACGGGUAGCCGGCCUGAGAGGGUGUCCGGCCACACUGGGACUGAGAUACGGCCCAGACUCCUACGGGAGGCAGCAGUGGGGAAUAUUGCACAAUGGGCGCAAGCCUGAUGCAGCGACGCCGCGUGGGGGAUGACGGCCUUCGGGUUGUAAACCUCUUUCAGCUCAGACGAAGCGUAAGUGACGGUAUGUGCAGAAGAAGCACCGGCCAACUACGUGCCAGCAGCCGCGGUAAGAC